UCCCUUCUCCACAAGUCAUGACAAUGACAAAUGUCUCUAGGCUGAGCAUGCUGGCUCAUGCCUGUAAUCCCAGCACUUUGGGAAGCCGAGGUGGGAGGAUCACUUGAGCCCAGGAGUUCAAGACCAGCCUGGUGAACAUGCGCAACCCUGUCUCCACUAAAAAUACAAAAAUUAGCUGGGUGUGGUGGUACGUGCCUGUAAUCCCAGCUACUCGGGAGGCUGAGGUGGGAGGAUCACUUGAGCCUGCGAGGUGGAGAGGGAUCCCGGAACUGAGGUGCAUUCCUAGAGGGGUGUUGGGGGCUGGACCUGCAGUUCAGUUGCAGUUUGUGAGACCCCAAAGGGAGCAGAAUUCCUAGGUCCUGGGUUGGGAGGAGCUGGUGGCCAGGAUCCCUGCUGAGUCCCUUGGCUGGCCCUGUUCUCAGUGGAUUGGGAGCUGAGUAGGCUGCAGCGACAAUGCAAAGUGAUGGAAGGGGAGAGGCGGGCCUACAGCAAGGAAGUCCACCAGCGCAUCAACAAGCAACUGUGAGCUGGGCGCCUGGGCCCUGAGCUGGGGAGGAGGGGGUCAGAGGGGCUGAAGACUGGACUCCUGGGUCCUGCCUUUAGUGAUGCUGAGUUCUGCCCCCUUACUGGCCCCUCUUCCACCUCCCUGCCUGGGUAGUGAGGAGAUCCGGCGCUUGGAGGAGGUACGGGGUGAUCUCCAGGUGCAGAUCAGUGCAGCCCAGAACCAGGUCAAGCGGCUUCGGGACAGUGAGCGGCUGGAGAACAUGGACCGCCUGCUGAAGGGCCGGGCCCAGGUGCAGGUGGAGAUCGAGGAGCUGCAGGAGCAGACCAGGGCCCUGGACAAGCAGGUGGGGUUUGAGAGGGGGUUCUGUGGAUCCUGCUUACGGGCAAGUGUUGUAACCUCCCUGAGCCUUAGCUUCCUCAUGUGAAAUUGGGGCUAUUAGGCCGGGC
rnacentral:lncRNA from 1 species